rnacentral:rRNA from 1 species
AGAGUUUGAUCCUGGCUCAGGAUGAACGCUAGCGGCAGGCCUAACACAUGCAAGUCGAGGGGUAACAUAAGUGCUUGCACUUGAUGACGACCGGCGGACGGGUGCGUAACGCGUAUACAAUCUACCUAUUACUAAGAGAUAGCCCAGAGAAAUUUGGAUUAAUAUUUUAUGGUAUUACGAUUUGGCAUCAAGUUGUAAUUAAAGGUAACGGUAAUAGAUGAGUAUGCGUCCUAUUAGCUAGAUGGUAAGGUAACGGCUUACCAUGGCAACGAUAGGUAGGGGUCCUGAGAGGGAGAUCCCCCACACUGGUACUGAGACACGGACCAGACUCCUACGGGAGGCAGCAGUGAGGAAGAUUGGACAAUGGGAGCAAUCCUGAUCCAGCCAUGCCGCGUGCAGGAAGACUGCCCUAUGGGUUGUAAACUGCUUUUAUACAGGAAGAAAAAGGUGUACGUGUACACUGUUGACGGUACUGUAAGAAUAAGGAUCGGCUAACUCCGUGCCAGCAGCCGCGGUAAUACGGAGGAUCCAAGCGUUAUCCGGAAUCAUUGGGUUUAAAGGGUCCGUAGGCGGGAUGAUAAGUCAGUGGUGAAAGUCUGCAGCUCAACUGUAGAAUUGCCAUUGAUACUGUUGUUCUUGAGUUAUUGUGAAGUGGUUAGAAUGAGUAGUGUAGCGGUGAAAUGCAUAGAUAUUACUCAGAAUACCGAUUGCGAAGGCAGAUCACUAACAAUGAACUGACGCUGAUGGACGAAAGCGU